GUUAGACCUGCAAGAAGAUGGCCAUCCAAGGUAAGAGGUGCCAAAGGCACCCGCCAUCUUCUGCCGCCGAUGGCGGCUAUGCAGGUCAGGAGGU
rnacentral:ncRNA from 1 species